AAACUUGGCCCAAACCAGUCCGAACUUGGGCCUAAUUGGCCCCUACUUGGGUUAUAGGAUUAACACCUAAUCCUAACCCUAAUUAAUGUGCUAACAAUGAUUUUAAAGACAUUUUCUAAGCUAUUACAAAGUCCGCAAGUCAAGACUUCUUCUGGCGAGCUUUCGGCAAACUUCCGGCGGUCUUCCGAUGAACUCUCGGAAACCAUUCUGCGGACUCCCGGCAAGCUCCUAGACUUCACGAUUUAUUCUUAGCGAGUUCCAACGAGCUUCUUCGGCAAGCUCCGAUCUUUCUCGGCGAGCUCCGCGAACUCCCAACGAACCUUCCAGCGAGCUUUCGAAAAACCCUUCGGCAAGCUCCCAACUCAUUCUCGGCUAGUUCCGGUAGCAUUCCCGACGAACCUUUGGACUUCCGUCGAACUCUCGAACUCGCAACAAAUCCUUCGCGCUUGACUCCG
rnacentral:lncRNA from 1 species